CCGAUCACCAGCAAACAACUGUGGAGAAUGUUAAAACCUAUAGAUGAUCUUCAGAAGAGACAAGUGACUCUACUGUGGAAAACACCCAAAAGCAGAACACAAAUCUGUCUCCUGCAAAAUGUCAGAGUGCCUGCACCAGCCUGUGGUUCAAUGUGUACUGUCAGUCCAAGGAAUCCCACAGUGCACUGCAAACUGAGAGCUGCUUGCACAUGACAGACACAUCCUGUCAGAUGACGCUGCCCAUUGAGUGCUUCUCCUGCUUCCUGACUGUGUUACUCUGCUGGCAGCUCCCCAGCAGCUCGGCUCACCCUACCAGCACCCACAGACACACGUAUGCACUAAGUCUCCAUU